rnacentral:rRNA from 1 species
GACGAACGCUGGCGGCGUGCUUAACACAUGCAAGUCGAACGAUGAACCCGGAGCUUGCUCCGGUGGAUUAGCGGCGAACGGGUGAGUAACACGUGAGUAACCUGCCCUUGACUCUGGGAUAACUGCGGGAAACUGUAGCUAAUACCGGAUACGACCCUCGGCGGCAUCGCCAGGGGGUGGAAAGAAUUUCGGUCAAGGAUGGACUAGCGGCCUAUCAGCUAGUUGGUGUGGUAACGGCUCACCAAGGCGACGACGGGUAGCCGGCCUGAGAGGGUGACCGGCCACACUGGGACUGAGACACGGCCCAGACUCCUACGGGAGGCAGCAGUGGGGAAUAUUGCACAAUGGGCGCAAGCCUGAUGCAGCAACGCCGCGUGAGGGAUGACGGCCUUCGGGUUGUAAACCUCUUUUAGUAGGGAAGAAGCGAAAGUGACGGUACCUGCAGAAAAAGCACCGGCUAACUACGUGCCAGCAGCCGCCGUAA